AUACGGAGGGUGCGAGCGUUAAUCGGAAUUACUGGGCGUAAAGCGUACGUAGGCGGUUGGUUAAGUUAGAUGUGAAAGCCUCGGGCUUAACCUGGGAACUGCAUUUAAAACUGGCGAACUAGAGUUGAGUAGAGGGGAGUGGAAUUUCAGGUGUAGCGGUGAAAUGCGUAGAGAUCUGAAGGAACACCAGUGGCGAAGGCGACUCCCUGGACUCGAACUGACGCUGAGGUACGAAAGCGUGGGUAGCAAACGGGAUUAGAAACCCUAGUAGUCC
rnacentral:rRNA from 1 species